GGCCCAAUGGUCUAGUCGUAUGAUUCGCGCUUCGGGUCCGUUCUCGAGCAUGCGCGAGGUCCCGGGUUCAAUUCCCGGUUGGGCCC